rnacentral:lncRNA from 1 species
UGAAUCAAUUGAUCAAUUGAUGUCUAAGAUAAGUAAUUGAAAAAUAGUUACUUAAUUAGAAUCCUUGAUCCAUUAAGGGGGAGCCUCCCACCGAUCUCCACUUACCUAGACAAUUUGAAAGAUUGUGUUUUGAAUAUGGUUACUUGGUGGUUUAGUUUAGCCCAUACCAAUUAGAUCAGUUAUUUGAUGACUAAUUAGAUGAGAUAUAAACCAAAUCUCUCUAUGAAUAUUAAGUCUAAAAGUCUUCUACCGUUGUAAAUAUGCGAACGUGCUACUGGUGUUGAUUAUUUUUGGCUGGUCACAGUGGUUCAAUUAAACCAAAAAUACGCAACCACUCUAUUAGCAAAAAAUUACUCCAGGA